GUGUUUUUUCACAUUUUGCCCAACAGCGCAUGCGCAUGAAGUUCUCUCUUCUUGGCGGGAACGCGACGAAUCGAGUUUUGAAGUGCUGUAGAAAACCAGGUGUGUUCAACCAUGGCAUCAAACGUGCGAGAUGCAAAGGACAAACCUUUAAACAAUGUGAUCAUGUACUGGUCGACCUCCCACAACAUAAUGUACUGUAGGGAAGUCCUGUUUACCAACCCCUUCCAGUUCAAAAAAUCUUCAACUGGGAGAACGGAAGCGUGGAAAAGCCUUGCUGACACUCCAAGAGAGAUUUCAGAGAGGGUGAUGUGGAUGUAAAACCUAAGCGACAAAGAAGGAAGGGAGGAGAUGCAAUUGAGUUUUUGAAAGAGAGAGCUGACAAAAACAGUGAACUUAGAAAAAAGGAGCUCAA